rnacentral:rRNA from 1 species
CGCUGAAGCUGGGUGCUUGCACCUGGUGGAUGAGUGGCGAACGGGUGAGUAAUACGUGAGUGACCUUCCUUGGACUCUGGGAUAAGCCCGGGAAACUGGGUCUAAUACCGGAUACGACCAGUCCUCGCAUGGGGUGCUGGUGGAAAGGGUUUGUACUGGUUCUUGAUGGGCUCACGUCCUAUCAGCUUGUUGGUGAGGUAAUGGCUUACCAAGGCGACGACGGGUAGCCGGCCUGAGAGGGUGACCGGCCACACUGGGACUGAGACACGGCCCAGACUCCUACGGGAGGCAGCAGUGGGGAAUAUUGCACAAUGGGCGCAAGCCUGAUGCAGCGACGCCGCGUGGGGGAUGACGGCCUUCGGGUUGUAAACCUCUUUCAGCAGGGAAGAAGCGAAAGUGACGGUACCUGCAGAAGAAGCGCCGGCUAACUACGUGCCAGCAGCCGCGGUAAUACGUAGGGCGCAAGCGUUGUCCGGAAUUAUUGGGCGUAAAGAGCUCGUAGGCGGUUUGUCGCGUCUGCUGUGAAAGCCCGGGGCUCAACCCCGGGUGUGCAGUGGGUACCGGCAGGCUGGAGUGCAGUA